GUGCUUGCUUUGGCAGCACAUAAGUUAAAAUUGGAAAGACACGAAGAGGAGUAACAUGGUCCCCACACAAGGAUGUCACAAAAAUAUGUGGAGCAUUCCAUAUUUUA
ensembl:snRNA U6 U6 spliceosomal RNA